rnacentral:sRNA from 1 species
UACUGAGAGUUUGUCGAUAAGCCAUGUA